rnacentral:rRNA from 1 species
GGGCCCCCUCACCUUGCUCAGAAGCCUAAAACCUGACGCAGCAACGCCGCGUGAGUGAUGAAGGCCCUCGGGUCGUAAAGCUCUGUCAGAGGGGAAGAACCUCCAAUCGGUUAAUAUCCGGUUGGCCUGACGGUACCCUCAAAGGAAGCACCGGCUAACUCCGUGCCAGCAGCCGCGGUAAUACGGAGGGUGCAAGCGUUGUUCGGAAUUAUUGGGCGUAAAGCGCGUGUAGGCGGCUGUUUAAGUCUGAUGUGAAAGCCCUGGGCUCAACCCGGGAAGUGCAUUGGAAACUGGACAGCUUGAAUACGGGAGAGGGAAGUGGAAUUUCGAGUGUAGGGGUGAAAUCCGUAGAUAUUCGAAGGAACACCGGUGGCGAAGGCGGCUUCCUGGACCGAUAUUGACGCUGAGACGCGAAAGCGUGGGGAGCAAACAGGAUUAGAUACCCUGGUAGUCCACGCCGUAAACGAU